rnacentral:rRNA from 1 species
UAGGGAAUCUUCGGCAAUGGACGAAAGUCUGACCGAGCAACGCCGCGUGAGUGAAGAAGGUUUUCGGAUCGUAAAACUCUGUUGGUAGAGAAGAACGUUGGUGAGAGUGGAAAGCUCAUCAAGUGACGGUAACACCAGAAGGCGCU